rnacentral:tRNA from 1 species
GUCUCCAUCGUCUAGGGGUUAGGACACGAGGUUUUCAUCCUCGCAACGGGGGUUCGAUUCCCCCUGGAGAUG